rnacentral:rRNA from 1 species
AUUGAACGCUGGCGGCAUGCUUUACACAUGCAAGUCGAACGGCAGCACGGGUGCUUGCACCUGGUGGCGAGUGGCGGACGGGUGAGUAAUGCAUCGGAACGUGUCCUGAAGUGGGGGAUAACGCAUCGAAAGAUGUGCUAAUACCGCAUAUUCUCUGAGGAGGAAAGUAGGGGAUCGAAAGACCUUAUGCUUUUGGAGCGGCCGAUGUCUGAUUAGCUAGUUGGUAGGGUAAUGGCUUACCUAAGGGCGACGAUCAGUAGUUGGUCUUGAGAGGACGACCAGCCACACUGGGACUGAGACACGGCCCAGACUCCUACGGGAGGCAGCAGUGGGGAAUUUUGGACAAUGGGCGCAAGCCUGAUCCAGCAAUGCCGCGUGAGUGAAGAAGGCC